UGAUAAGGCUCAUUUCGGUUAGUGACACCGAAAGCAACAGUUUGAAAGUUGGAAUUGUGCCUUUUAGACCCCUGUGGGGUAACAAGGUUACAAAAAUUGUUCUGGAGAGAAAUACAAAAUAAAUUUCUCCCCGGAAACAUCCAUCGACAGAGAUUGAUCCCGAAGCAAGGCCUCUCGAGUAUCACAGAUUUGAGUUUUUAAGUUAGUGAAACCUCCUUUGCGGAGACGUUUAGAACAGCCAGGAAUUCAUGCUCCCUUGCGUAUGCAAAUAGAAGAAUUUCUCACGUACGACGAGAUUCCCGAAGUUCAAGAUCCUCGUAAUUUAAUCGCUGAUAAUAAAUUAGCAAAGCACACGCGAUGUGGAUAUUGUCAUCAUUCUCUUGAUCGAAAAACGUGGUACAAAUGUCUGCGUUGUAAUGGAGCCAUGUGUCAUGAACACACAACGAAACUGUGCCAAUAUUGCGCACACUGAAAUAAGAAUUGUAUUUCCGAAAAUUAAAUGAACUAACUGUUUUUUAAUGC